AGGACGAACGCUGGCGGCGUGCUUAAUACAUGCAAGUCGAACGAGGUUCACGCAAGUGGGCCUAGUGGCGAACGGGUGAGUAACACGUGAGCAACCUGCCCCGAAGACCGGGAUAACAGUGGGAAACCGCUGCUAAUACCGGAUACCCCCAUCUGGUCACAUGGCCGGAUGAGGAAAUGGAUUCCGCUUCGGGAGGGGCUCGCGGCCUAUCAGCUUGUUGGUGGGGUAACGGCCUACCAAGGCUUCGACGGGUAGCUGGUCUGAGAGGACGAUCAGCCACACUGGGACUGAGACACGGCCCAGACUCCUACGGGAGGCAGCAGUAGGGAAUCUUGCGCAAUGGGCGAAAGCCUGACGCAGCAACGCCGCGUGAGGGAUGGAGGCCUUCGGGUUGUAAACCUCUUUCAGCAGGGACGAUUGUGACGGUACCUGCAGAAGAAGCCCCGGCAACUACGUGCCAGCAGCCGC
rnacentral:rRNA from 1 species